GACGAACGCUGGCGGCGUGCUUAACACAUGCAAGUCGAACGGAAAGGCCCUGCUUUUGUGGGGUGCUCGAGUGGCGAACGGGUGAGUACACGUGAGUAACCUACCCUUGACUUUGGGAUAACUUCAGGAAACUGGGGCUAAUACCGGAUAGGAGCUCCUGCUGCAUGGUGGGGGUUGGAAAGUUUCGGCGGUUGGGGAUGGACUCGCGGCUUAUCAGCUUGUUGGUGGGGUAGUGGCUUACCAAGGCUUUGACGGGUAGCCGGCCUGAGAGGGUGACCGGCCACAUUGGGACUGAGAUACGGCCCAGACUCCUACGGGAGGCAGCAGUGGGGAAUAUUGCACAAUGGGCGGAAGCCUGAUGCAGCAACGCCGCGUGCGGGAUGACGGCCUUCGGGUUGUAAACCGCUUUCGCCUGUGACGAAGCGUGAGUGACGGUAAUGGGUAAAGAAGCACCGGCUAACUACGUG
rnacentral:rRNA from 1 species